rnacentral:rRNA from 1 species
AUUGAACGCUGGCGGCAGGCCUAACACAUGCAAGUCGAGAGAGCGGCGGACGGGUGAGUAAUGUAUGGGGACUGCCCGCUAGAGGGGGAUAACUACUGGAAACGGUGGCUAAUACCGCAUACUAUCGGAUAACCCAUAUGGGAUUAGCUAGGAGGUGGGGUAAAGGCUCACCUAGGCGACGAUCUCUAGCUGGUCUGAGAGGAUGAUCAGCAACACGGAGACGGAGACACGGCCCAGUCUCCUACGGAGGCAGCAGUGGGGAAGAUUGCACAAUGGGCGAAAGCCUGAUGCCGCCAUGCCGCGUGUAUGAAGAAGGCCGUAGGGUUGUAAAGUAAUUGCAGCGGGGAGGCGUUACCCGCAGAAGAAGCACCGGCUAACUCCGUGCCAGCAGCCGCGGUAAUUC